AACGAACGCUGGCGGCAUGCCUAACACAUGCAAGUCGAACGAGACCUUCGGGUCUAGUGGCGCACGGGUGCGUAACGCGUGGGAACCUGCCCUUAGGUUCGGAAUAACUCCCCGAAAGGGGUGCUAAUACCGGAUAAUGUCUUCGGACCAAAGAUUUAUCGCCUUUGGAUGGGCCCGCGUUGGAUUAGCUAGUUGGUAGGGUAAAAGCCUGCCAAGGCGACGAUCCAUAGCUGGUCUGAGAGGAUGAUCAGCCACACUGGGACUGAGACACGGCCCAGACUCCUACGGGAGGCAGCAGUGGGGAAUAUUGUACAAUGGGCGAAAGCCUGAUCCAGCAAUGCCGCGUGAGUGAUGAAGGCCUUAGGGUUGUAAAGCUCUUUUACCCGGGAUGAUAAUGACAGUACCGGGAGAAUAAGCUCCGGCUAACUCCGUG
rnacentral:rRNA from 1 species